UUUUAGUAGCCUCUCUUUUAUGUAGUAGAUCUAGUAGUAGCACUCUAAAUUUGUAAACACUUUUAUUAUAUCAAUACAAGUAUUCAUUUUUGUUCUUAAAUCUUGCUCUUUACUUUUACUUCAAGGCUAUGAAAUCUUCCUCUAACUACAAAAGGUUCAAAUUUGUUUGUAGAUUGGAAGGAGCCUAAUUAUAUGUUUUAAGCUUGCAUUUUUUAGUAUUUAAAUUGAGCCCCUUUUAAUUCUCAAUAUUAUUAGUGGGUUCAAUGGUUUAGUAUUCUAGAUUUUGAUUUUAGCUUGUAGUUUGAUGGGGUUUUGUUAGAGACUUGGUAGAUAAGCUAGUUUUGAAGUUUUGUGUGAUUUGGAGUUAAUUUGGUAUGCUUUGGUGUUUCUCUUUGUUCUUGAUUUUGGGGCUUUUUGGUGUAAAUUUUAGUUUAUGAUUUUGACUUGAGGUUAGUGGGUUUUGGUUAGUUAUAUUUUAUAUAGGCUAGAUUUGAAGUUUGGUAUGAUUUGGAGUUGUUUUGGUUUGGUUUGAAUCUUGUUUUGAUCAAGAAAUGGGUAGUUUAGG
rnacentral:lncRNA from 1 species